UACGGAGGAUGCGAGCGUUAUCCGGAUUUAUUGGGUUUAAAGGGUGCGUAGGCGGAUUUUUAAGUCAGCGGUAAAAUGUCCGGGCUCAACCCGGGCCGGCCGUUGAAACUGGGGAUCUUGAGUGGGCGAGAAGAAGGCGGAAUGCGUGGUGUAGCGGUGAAAUGCAUAGAUAUCACGCAGAACCCCGAUUGCGAAGGCAGCCUUCCGGCGCCCUACUGACGCUGAGGCACGAAAGUGCGGGGAUCGAACAGG
rnacentral:rRNA from 1 species